rnacentral:rRNA from 1 species
CCUACGGGGGGCUGCAGUAACGAAUAUUCCGCAAUGGACGCAAGUCUGACGGAGCGACGCCGCGUGGAGGAUGAAGUCCCUCGGGAUGUAAACUUCAAUAGUUUGUCAGGAAGCGAAAGGACCUAAUACGUCCUUAGUUGACCAUCAAACGAAAGGGGUGGCUAACUCCGUGCCAGCAGCCGCGGUAAGACGGAGACCCCAAGCGUUGUUCGGAAUCACUGGGCUUAGAGCGGGUGUAGGCGGGACGGUAAGUACUGAGUGAAAUCCCCGGUCUCAACCCGGGAACUGCUUGGUAUACUGCCGUUCUUGAGGCAGGUAGGGGUCACUGGAACCUUAGGUGGAGCGGUGAAAUGCGUAGAUAUCUAAGGGAACGCCUGUGGCGAAAGCGGGUGACUGGGCCUGUUCUGACGCUGAGACGCGAAAGCGUAGGGAGCAAACGGGAUUAGAUACCCCUGUAGUC